AGCCUAAUCCGGGUUAUUUGCUUUCCCAUGCUUGUGUCAGGUCCUGCUCUGAAUUGACUGUGGAAAAUACUCUCUAGUCUGCCGGCCGCUCCCUCUGUCCCUGAUUUAUCUGAAUAGGAUGUGGCCGAUGGGCGUAUAUAAAGCGGGCUGAAUGGCAAGGGCCGGAGGUAGAGAGGGACGAAAGCGGUGAAAGACCUCCGGAUGGCAGUCAGCGCUCCAGGGGGCCUCUCUGCCCAGAGAGACCCCACCAAAGGGCUUCAUUGUGGGUAGCAGCAGGCAGCCACUGAGGGCUGUAUGCUGGAAGUAUUGUGUUGCUGGAUAGACCCGAGUCCCUCUCCAGAACAGGGUCAAAGGUUAGCCCCCCUGUGGACUGCUCCAUACCUGCCCUGCCCUGUCUCCCCCUUCCACUCUCGCAGGCCCAGGGACACACAGUCACAUACAAUGGAAACCAAUCAACACGCUACUAAGGAGACUCUUAAGAUUGAGAGGUAGCAGAGCGGAGAGACUAAUUCAGUGCACUCUCCACUUUUCGAUGAAUAGGUAAUUCAAUUAAUGGGCCCAUGAGAGGGAAUAACGAGCAAGGCAGGUCAGAGGCUCCUCUCUGCAGUUUACAAGGCCACGUCUCAGCACUUCAGCAGGAUAAAAAUCUUAUCGCAGACUCAAAACAAAAACCUUUGAUGACAUCUCAGCUAUCGUCAUUGUUGAUGUGGGUGUGAGUCAUAAGGUGGCGUGUGUACGUGUGUGUGUGUGUGUGUGUACAGCUGACUGUGUGGCUCUGCAUGUGUGGAUAUGUAAGUAAGUCCGCUUUUGGACGCAACGGGAUGGUGAAAGAGCAUGUCAAACAUUUGGAUCUAUGCUGAGCCAGAUCCCGCCCCUAUCGCCUUAUCUUGACACCCCUGUGCAUGCAGGGAAUGCUUGCUCUCAUGCCUCCAUGCACCGUCAGCUCUUCAAACACGAACACGCAGCUCUGCUUAUUAGACAGCCCCUCUGCGUGCGGACUAACUGUGGAAUACAAAAUUGGACUCCCUGAAAAAUGUAAUUAAUCUUGCGUUGUCGUAUUCUUAAUGCAUGUCGGCCUUUUUUUUUUUGGAUGUCAUUGAUUUCUUUAACUGAUUGUAAAGCACUGUGUAUCACUGUUUUGGAAAGGUUAAUGGGAUUAGAAUAAUGAAAAUAAGGGGGAAAUACAUACAAUAUUAUUGUGAUUGUUGUCAGUGUUUGGUGAUUAAAUUUCAACUGUGGAUU